rnacentral:rRNA from 1 species
AGAGUUUGAUUCUGGCUCAGAACGAACGCUGGCGGCAGGCCUAACACAUGCAAGUCGAACGAUAUAGUGGCAGACGGGUGAGUAACGCGUGGGAACGUACCUUUCACUACGGAAUAGCUCUGGGAAACUGGCGGUAAUACCGUAUACGCCCUUAGGGGGAAAGAUUUAUCGGUGAAAGAUCGGCCCGCGUUGGAUUAGCUAGUUGGUGAGGUAAUGGCUCACAAAGGCGACGAUCCAUAGCUGGUCUGAGAGGAUGAUCAGCCACACUGGGACUGAGACACGGCCCAGACUCCUACGGGAGGCAGCAGUGGGGAAUCUUGCACAAUGGGCGAAAGCCUGAUGCAGCCAUGCCGCGUGAAUGAUGAAGGCCUUAGGGUUGUAAAAUUCUUUCGUCAGGGAUGAUAAUGACCGUACCUGAAGAAGAAGCCCCGGCUAACUUCGUGCCAGCAGCCGCGGUAAUACGAAGGGGGCUAGCGUUGUUCGGAAUUACUGGGCGUAAAGCGCACGUAGGCGGACUUUUAAGUCAGGUGUGAAAUCCCGGGGCUCAACCUCGGAACUGCAUUUGAAACUGGAAGUCUGGAGAUCAGGAGAGGUUAGCGGAAUACCGAGUGUAGAGGUGAAAUUCGUAGAUAUUCGGUGGAACACCAGUGGCGAAGGCGGCUAACUGGACUGAUACUGACGCUGAGGUGCGAAAGUGUGGGGAGCAAACAGGAUUAGAUACCCUGGUAGUC